UGCAAAAUGAUGAGAAACUUUAAUCUGAAUUUUAAUUGUUGAAUUCAUUUAUAUUACCUUCAAAGUUCUCUGAUUGCU